GGUUUGAUCAUGGCUCAGAUUGAACGCUGGCGGGAUGCUUUACAUGCAAGUCGAACGGCGGCACGGACUUCGGUCUGGUGGCGAGUGGCGAACGGGUGAGUAAUGUAUCGGAACGUGCCUAGUAGCGGGGGAUAACUACGCGAAAGCGUAGCUAAUGCCACGCCCGCCCUUCGGGGAAAGCGGGGGCCUUCGGGCCUCACUUUUUAAUGGGCGGCCGAUAUCGGAUUAGCUAGUUGGUGGGGUAACGGCUCACCAAGGCGACGAUCCGUAGCUGGUUUGAGAGGACGACCAGCCACACUGGGACUGAGACACGGCCCAGACUCCGGGAGGCAGCAGUGGGAAUUUUGGACAAUGGGGAAACCCUGAUCCAGCCAUCCCGCGUGUGCGAUGAAGGCCUUCAGGUUGUAAAGCACUUUUGGCAGGAAAGAAACGGCACGGGAUAAUACCCCGUGCAACUGACAGUACCUGCAGAAUAAGCACCGGCUAACUGGUGCCGCCAUGGCCGCGGUAAUACGUAGGGUGCAAGCGUUAAUCAACGGAAUUACUGGGCGUAAAGCGUGCGCAGGCGGUUCGGAAGAAAGAUGUGAAAUCCCAGAGCUUAACUUUGGAACUGCAUUUUUAACUACCGAGCUAGAGUGUGUCAGAGGGAAGUGGAAUUCCGCGUGUAGCAGUGAAAUGCGUAGAUAUGCGGAGGAACACCGAUGGCGAAGGCAGCCUCCUGGGAUAACACUGACGCUCAUGCACAAGCGUGAGGCAAACAGGAUUAGAUACCCUGGUAGUCCACGCCCUAAACAAUGUCAACUAGCUGUUGGGGCCUUCCGGGCCUUGGUAGCGCAGCUAACGCGUGAAGUUGACCACCCAGGGGGUACGGUCGCAGAUUAAAACUCAAAGGAAUUGACGGGGACCCGCACAAGCGGUGGAUGAUGUGGAUUAAUUCAGUGCAACGCGAAAACCUUACCUACCCUUGACAUGUCUGGAAUCCCGAAGAAGUUUGGGAGUGCUCGCAAGAGGAGCCGGAACACAGGU
rnacentral:misc_RNA from 1 species